rnacentral:lncRNA from 1 species
GUGGUCACUGAUGGCAACAGUAUCUACUUUGCCAGAGGUGAAGGUAGCCCUGGGGAAAAGGUACCUAAUAUGGCAAUACCUAUUACUCUGACCUUCCCCGUUCUGUCUCAGGAAUGUAACUGGCAUUGCACAAGAAGAUGUGAAUUACAUCAAGAAAAGCAGCAGGCGCAAGAACACGGCAGAUUCAGGCAGAGAUGAAGAUGGAGCAGAGAAGCCGAGUCCAGAGACUGCACUUGGUACUUCUAGUUGCUUCAAGAAAUUACCUCACACAAGCAGCCUCAGGAGGGGUUGUUUUUACCUCACAGUCCAUCAUGGCAGCCAGAUGCCGCAGCGGGAAGAUCCCAGAGUGUCUGGUCUUGUUGCAUCCACACUCAGGGAGAGCUGAAUGAUGUUAUUCUCCUCCUUUUUAUUCAGUCUGGGACCUCGGCCAUAGAAUGGCACCACACACAUUUAGGGCUUCCAAGCAGGUUCAUUAAAACGUCUUCUACCAAACAUGAACAUCUACAUGCUGAUCUAUCACCAGUGUAUAUUAUAGUACCCACCCUUCUUUUUCUAGCAAGCAUCUUUCAUAAACAGUAUCUGU